GUUAUGUACAUGGGUGGGUAAAAUGGCUGAGGAAGCAUUAGACUGUAAAUCUAAAGACAGGGGAGUAGGCCUCUUUUUACCAGUCCUGAGGAGAUACUAUCAUAUUGAAUUGCAAA